rnacentral:lncRNA from 1 species
CUCGAAACAUAUAGUUUUGGCCCAUCUUGUGUUAUUCCCUUUAGCUUUGCAGGAACAUACAAUACCAUCUUUUCUGAAUCUCGGGGUCUUAUAAUGGAACUCGCUCCUUUCACGAUCAGUUGUUCUCUUGGCAUAUACUUCAGUGCUUCUCCCUGGUUUUCCUUCAAGGUGCCUAUUUCUGGCAUUGCUUGGCUUGUUGGCCUGCAUUCUCUAUCGUUAAAACUCAUCCCCACGAUGUGUGUGUUACUGUGAUUAGGAAGUGGAUUGUCGGUGACAUUCGGUGCUUCUUCUUUUUGUAUUACGAUUGCCUUACUUUCGAUUAACUUUUCAAUGGCUCUCUUCAGACUCCAACAGUUUUCGGUACUGUGACCUUGGACGUUGGAAUGGUACUCACACCUUACAUUAGGAUCAAACCAACUUGCAUUCGGAUCCACUUUGAAAGGCAAAACAGGUUCAAUCCAUCCUAAUUUGACUAAUUUCCGCAACAGGCUCGUAUAUGACUCUCCAAUUGGGGUGAAGUUUUCCUUUGGCCUCUGUUCUCUUGUAUAGUCUGCCGUAACAUACGGAUUACGAGGGGCUUGUAAAUUCGGCUGCCGCGGACAAAAACCUUGCGGCGCAGGUGCCCACCAUUGUGGACGUUGCGG